UUCAUACUCCCUCCGUCCUAAAAAAUUUAUCUUAGAUUUGUCUAAAUAUAAAUGUAUCUAGUCAUGUUUUAGUAUUUAGGUACAUUCAUUUUUAGACAAACUUAAGACAAUAAUUUUAGGACGGAGGAAGUAUUAA
rnacentral:pre_miRNA from 1 species